GUAAUACGGAGGGUGCAAGCGUUAUCCGGAUUUAUUGGGUUUAAAGGGUCCGCAGGCGGGGUAUUAAGUCAGUGGUGAAAGCCGGCAGCUCAACUGUCGAAUUGCCAUUGAUACUGGUACUCUUGAGUGUAGUUGAAGUAGGCGGAAUAAGUCAUGUAGCGGUGAAAUGCAUAGAUAUGACUUAGAACACCGAUUGCGAAGGCAGCUUACUAAGCUAUAACUGACGCUGAGGGACGAAAGCGUGGGUAGCGAACAGGAUUAGAUA
rnacentral:rRNA from 1 species